GUGGGUCCGGAUCCUAAUAGGUAGAGCGGUAGUGGAGGGUGUGGAGGUUCCGUUGAGGGUGCAUGUGUCAGGCCUUAAGGAUUUAUUUUUUUUAAACUCGUAGGGUUUUUAUUUUUUAUUUUUUUGGUUUGCUUUUAAUCUUCAGAAAGGCAAGGAUAAUUUAUCUGCUGUUGGGAGUCAGAGCUUCUGUUACUUCCAGAGAGGCUCCUUUCCGUUUCCUCCAUCUUUUCCUUUACCCGGAGUGUAAAUCUUGGGGGGGUUAGACUCGCACCCCCCAGCCUCCAAGUCUUGCAGUUUUAUUUGGUUUUCGUUGCGUUCUUCGAGAGAAUUCCAGCCUCCGGGUGGUCCUUUUUUCUUCAGCAGAUCCCCAUCAGCGUCCCAUCUUGGCUCUCUGGAGGGGACCGGCUCAUCACUGCUGCCAGCUGAGGAAUGGAGCAGGACAGCUCUCGGGAAAAGCCAUCGCGGGAAGGCGCUUCCUUGCCGGGAGAUCCGCCUUCCUCCACCCUUGGACAGUCUUUAUCCCAGGUUUUGCAUCGUCUUACCUGCGAGGAGUCCCGACGGGGCAAGGCCAGAAGUGCAGCAAUUCAGGACCUCGAUGCUCUAAUAGAAGCUGCAGAAUGUGAUCAGUUGUUUGAGGGGAGCGACACGUCGCUCCGCGGAAUGUCCGAGAUGCUGGGGCAGGUGGCAAAAGCCCUGGGGAAGUAUGCAGCCCCACCCAAGGAGCAGGAAGGUAGAGCUCAGGGCUACUCUGAAGUGGCUGAGAAGGGGGCAGCAGUUGGGAUACUGUUUCUUAAAUUAAUGGGGAAAAUUGAGGCGGCCAAGAAUUCCUUGCUUUGUCCUACGUGGAAGAUAGGCCUCCGUCCCUUGGCAGGACCCAUCUAUGUUUUCGCCGUUACACACAGCUUGGAGCAACCGUGGACCAGCCCAAGAUCCCGAGACGUUGCUGGGGAGGUGCUCGCCUUACUCCUCCGAGUUACUCAGUGUGGUUCCGUGGCAGGAUUUCUGCACGGAGAAAAUGAAGACGAGAAAGGGAGAUUUACUUUAAUAAUGGAGCUUCUCAAACCAGAUUUGAAUAAGGAAUCCUGGAAGAAUAACCCAGCCACCAAACAUGUUUUCUCAUGGACUCUGCAACAGGUCACCCGACCCUGGCUGAACCAACAUCUGGAAAGGAUACUUCCCCCAUCACUGCUCAUCUCGGAUGACUAUCAAACCGAGAACAAAAUACUGGGUGUAUACUGCCUCCAUCACAUUGUGCUGAAUGUGCCAGCUGCUGAUUUGCUCCAGUAUAACAGAGCCCAGGUCCUAUACCAUGCCCUUUUCAGCCACCUCUACACACCAGAGUACAACCUCAUUCAGGCUGUGCUCCUGUGUCUGCUGGAUUUAUUCCCCGUCCUGGAGAAAGGCCUGCACUGGAAAGGAGGUGCCGCUCGACCCAGCACACACUGCGAUGAGGUGCUGCGGUUGAUCCUGACCCACAUGGAGCCGGAACACCGCCUUCUCUUACGCAGGACCUACGCGAGAAACCUCCCAGCGUUUGUGAAGAGGUUGGGGAUCCUAACUGUCCGGCACUUGAAGAGGCUGGAGCGAGUCAUCAUUAGUUAUCUGGAGGUUUAUGAUGGGCCAGAGGAGGAGGCUAGAUUGAAGAUACUGGAAACUCUGAAACUUCUCAUGCAGUAUGCAUGGCCCAGAAUUUCCUGUAGACUUGUGGUCUUGCUGAAGGCUCUCCUAAAACUGAUAUGCGAUGUAGCAAGGGAUCCAAAUCUUACACCUGAGCCUGUUAAGAAUGCCUUAUUAGAGGAAGCCACGGAUUGCCUGAUUCUCCUGGACCACUGUUCUCAAGGACAGGUGAAGGAUCUCCUGGCCAAAAUUCUCCAAAGCUGUGAAGACAGCAAGGUGGUGAACUGUAUCAGAAAAGUGCAGCAGGUGUCUGAAGGCGCGUCCUACGACAGAAAUUAAAUUUCUCAUACUUUUAAAGUAGGAAGGCUUUUCUUCUUGUUCCAACUGUGUAAACAGAAUGAUUUAAGAAAAAAGAAUCUGAAGAGUCACUGUCUGCCUCCUGCUGUUCCAGGGCCUUGUCGAAGGCGUGAAUGGGGAAGUUGUAGAUGUCGCCAUACUGAAGAACAGAAACACAUCAGCUUUAAUGACAUCUCAGUCUUACACUUGAAGUCCACAUCCAAUAAGCAUAUUCCUCAGUGAUCAAAUGAGAAUACUUAACUUGAUACGUAGUAGUAUUUCUGUAUUAAUUUCAAGCCUAGAAUCAACAAUGUCUUUAAAAACACAUUUUAAAUAAUCAGUGGUUAAAAUCAAAUGGGUAACUUCCAUGAAGAAUAGAAGCACAUCACUGAAAACGUAGUAGUGUAUAAAACCCAUGGGUUAGAACACAUGUAAAUUUGCUGACAGACAGCAAAUAAUAAGGAAAAAGUAAGUUUUAUUCAUUUUUGUCUUGUAAAUGACACUAAUUUUUAAAAAGAACUAAAAACUCAUUUUAAAGAGCCUAAGAUUACUAGGGUAGUGUGCAAGAGGAUCAAGACUGCCUGCCUUUCAUACAGAGAUCGGGAACUGUUGCACCGUGAACAGGACUGGCAGUACGGUGCAGAGAGAGGUCUCUUACACUGAAUGGGGAGCAUCGGGGUGACCAGAACACUUCAUGCAUUCGUGUCAACCAAAUAAAAUGGGGAAGCCAAGGGCUAUAUAUUUGUUCUAUUCCAGGAACAAAAUUAAAGUGAAGAUCUUUCCAGCAUCUUCGAAAAUAAAACACAUUUCUGUUU